UACGUAGGGUGCGAGCGUUGUCCGGAAUUAUUGGGCGUAAAGAGCUCGUAGGCGGUCUGUCGCGUCGGAUGUGAAAACCCAGGGCUCAACCCUGGGCCUGCAUUCGAUACGGGCAGACUAGAGUUCGGUAGGGGAGACUGGAAUUCCUGGUGUAGCGGUGAAAUGCGCAGAUAUCAGGAGGAACACCAAUGGCGAAGGCAGCACUCUGGGACGUGACUGACGCUGAGACGCGAAAGCGUGGGGAGCAAACAGG
rnacentral:rRNA from 1 species